rnacentral:ncRNA from 1 species
UUUAUUAAGAGUUUGAUCCUGGCUCAGGAUGAACGCUGGCGGCGUGCUUAACACAUGCAAGUCGAGCGAACAAAGCGAUGUGAAGCCUUCGGGUGGAUCAUCGCGGCGUGAGCGGCGGACGGGUGAGUAACACGUGGGUAACCUGCCCUGUACACUGGGAUAACGCACCGAAAGGUGUGCUAAUACCGGAUAAAGUGAACCUUUCGCAUGGAAGGAUCACCAAAGCUCCGGCGGUACAGGAUGGACCCGCGUCCCAUUAGCUAGUUGGUGAGGUAACGGCUCACCAAGGCGACGAUGGGUAGCCGACCUGAGAGGGUGAUCGGCCACACUGGAACUGAGACACGGUCCAGACUCCUACGGGAGGCAGCAGUGGGGAAUAUUGCACAAUGGGCGAAAGCCUGAUGCAGCAACGCCGCGUGAGCGAUGAAGGCCUUCGGGUCGUAAAGCUCUGUCCUAAGGGAAGAUAAUGACGGUACCUUAGGAGGA